rnacentral:rRNA from 1 species
CCUACGGGUGGCAGCAGUGGGGAAUAUUGGGCAAUGGGCGCAAGCCUGACCCAGCAACGCCGCGUGAGGGAAGAAGGCUUUCGGGUUGUAAACUUCUUUUAGGAGGGAGGAGCAGAAGACGGUACCUCUUGAAUAAGCCACGGCUAACUACGUGCCAGCAGCCGCGGUAAUACGUAGGUGGCAAGCGUUGUCCGGAUUUACUGGGUGUAAAGGGCGUGCAGCCGGGAAGGCAAGUCAGGUGUGAAAUCCCGCGGCUCAACCGCGGAACCGCAGUUGAAACUGGUUUUCUUGAGUACCGGAGAGGUACUCGGAAUGCGUGGUGUAGCGGUGAAAUGCGUAGAUAUAAGGCAGAACACCAGUGGCGAAGGCGGAGGACUGGACGGCAACUGACGGUGAGGCGCGAAAGCGUGGGGAGCAAACAGGAUUAGAUACCCCUGUAGUC